UUAGGGUACUUAAAGUUCCUGCCGUGGUGGUUUGUUCAACCCCGGCACCGGCCCUGGGCGGCGGGGUAUGCCACACGCCCAAGGCUUCAAGGCUUGUGCCACGUGCCGCAGGCCUAUGCCAUUGAGCGACCCCCACGCCUCGUGUCUCCGUUGCCUGGGGGAAGCUCACCAGAAAGAGCGCUGCAAGAUCUGCAAGGCCUUUAAGCCCAGAACUAAAAAAGAGAGGGACUUUCGCCUUAAGCAGCUGCUCAUGGAGACGGCGUUACAGCCCUCCACUUCGACGGCACCGUCUGCCUCCGUGCGGAGUGCCCCGGCAUCGGUGCGGGAACCGGCACUGGCGGGUCACCCGAAGACCGCGGCACUGACCCAGCGGGGAAAUGCACGAUGCCGAUCGUCUUCGCCGGCGAAAGCGAAGGGCCAGUCUAAGGCCCGAGGACGCUCCCCGCACAAGAGGCCGGCACCGGUAAAGACCUCGAGUGCCCCUAAGGCCGAUACGGCCCCAACACGGACCCCGGUAGUGGCUCCGGCGCCGAAAGGCCCGUCGAGCCCCGGGAUGGGCGCGUCGAGUGCGGAUGAAGGGCUAGAGGAGCUCGUGGAACAGCCCUCCACUCCGGACACGUUUGAGGCAGCUAAAGACCUCAUCGCUUUGUCCGUCGAGGCCCCGGCACGCGCUGAGGGCGCUCCGCCGAUGCUGCCGCGUAGAGGCAAGCCGGCGAUGUUGCGCCCAUCACGGUCGCCGUCUCGGCACCGCUCCAGGAACCGGUCCCGGUCGAGCUCCGCCUCGGUGGACUCCCGGUUGCCCUCGGCGCAGGAAGCACCGCAGCAGUCGGGCUUCAACAAGCGGUCGGCACCGACUCAGCAACUGAGCACGAGUCGGCACCGCGAAGCGUUGGCGGUUCAUUACCCAAGGCCGUCCAGUCGUAGCCGUUCCCGGUCCUGCGAUCACCGGUACAGGUCCAGGUCGGCGAGGCACUAUUCCAGGUCCUGGUCGCGGAGGCGCUACUCCCCAGAACCGGACCGGCACCAUUCUACGGCUCCACCGUGGCCUUCCAGGUCACCGUCCGUGGUCUCGGGGGCUGACUCAGACCGGUACGGCGGGUAUGCCCAUAGGCCACGGGCCAGCAGAGACUACGGUCAGUCCCAAUGGGGCCAACCGAGCCAAUGGCCAUUCUGGACACCCUGGGCCUACCACCAGCAAGGACCCCCAUCGAGGGCCUCGAGAUCCGGGCCAUCCGGGUACCGAUCCCGCUCCCCGCGGCACCGCCCGCCAUCGUAUAGGGAGGCAAUGGUCUCUAGACCACCGGAGCGGGAAGGAGUGGACUCGGCACCGAGUACGGUGCCGUCCCAAUCCCACGCUGCGGGUCAGGCCGCAGAGGAACAACUGGCUGAUGCCGGGUUGCUGGACAAUGAGGAUGGGCAGAAGGCCCCGACCUCUUCCUCCUCGCCAGAUGAGGCGGUAGCGGGCACAUUGGUGUCCGGCCCUCCCCUGAUCGACCAUCGGGCACACCAAGACCUGCUUCGCCGGGUAGCCCUCAAUCUGGGCUUGCAAGCGGAGGAGACUGUAGAGCAGGACGACCCCAUGGUCGAUAUCCUGAGCCCAGAGGGCCCCUCCAGAGUCGCUCUCCCGAUUAUACGGACAGUACAGUCCAACUAUAAGGCGGUGUGGCAAACACCGGCCUCUAGUGCGCCAACUGCAAAAGGCGUAGAGAGGAAAU
ensembl:lncRNA